rnacentral:rRNA from 1 species
AGAGUUUGAUCCUGGCUCAGAACGAACGCUGGCGGCAGGCCUCAAACAUUGCAAGUCUAGGGGGUGUAGCAAUACAUCACCGGCGGACGGGUGCGUAACACGUGGGAAUGUACCUAGUGGUUCGGAACAACUCAGGGAAACUUGAGCUAAUACCGGAUGAGCCCGAAAGGGGAAAGAUUUAUCGCCACUAGAUCAGCCCGCGUAGGAUUAGCUUGUUGGUGAGGUAACGGCUCACCAAGGCGACGAUCCUUAGCUAUUCUGAGAGGAAGAUCAGCCACACUGGGACUGAGACACGGCCCAGACUCCUACGGGAGGCAGCAGUUGGGAAUCUUGGACAAUGGGGGAAACCCUGAUCCAGCCAUGCCGCGUGAGUGAUGAAGGCCUUAGGGUUGUAAAGCUCUUUUACCCGGGAAGAUAAUGACUGUACCGGGAGAAUAAGCUCCGGCUAACUUCGUGCCAGCAGCCGCGGUAAUACGAAGGGGGCUAGCGUUGUUCGGAAUUACUGGGCGUAAAGCGUGCGCAGGCGGUUUUACAAGUCAGGGGUGAAAGCCCAGAGCUCAACUCUGGAAAUGCCCUUGAAACUGUUAAGCUCGAGUGCGGGAGAGGUGAGUGGAAUUCCCAGUGUAGAGGUGAAAUUCGUAGAUAUUGGGAAGAACACCGGUGGCGAAGGCGGCUCACUGGCCCGUUUCUGACGCUCAUGCACGAUAGCGUGGGGAUCAAACAGGAUUAGAUACCCUGGUAGUCCACGCCGUAAACUAUGGACGCUAGCCGUUGGGUAGCUUGCUAUUCAGUGGCGCAGCUAACGCCUUAAGCGUCCCG